rnacentral:rRNA from 1 species
UACGGGGGGGGCAAGCGUUGUUCGGAAUUACUGGGCGUAAAGGGCGCGUAGGCGGAUGAGCAAGUCUGUGGUGAAAUCCCCCGGCUUAACCGGGGAACUGCCGUGGAUACUGCACAUCUCGAGGAAGAUAGGGGCGUCUGGAACUAGCGGUGGAGCGGUGAAAUGCGUUGAUAUCGCUAGGAACUCCGGUGGCGAAGGCGAGACGCUGGAUCUUUUCUGACGCUGAGGCGCGAAAGCCAGGGGAGCGAACGGG